AGGUAAGUUAAAUUAAUUAGUACGGUAACGUCGCCCGAGUCGGGUGGGGGAAUUAAACGUAGACGAAAGUUACGCUAAUACCGCAUACGAUCUACGGAUGAAAGCGGGGGACUCGCAAGAGCCUCGCGCGAUUGGAGCGGCCGAUAUCAGAUUAGGUAGUUGGUGAGGUAAAGGCUCACCAAGCCAACGAUCUGUAGCUGGUCUGAGAGGACGACCAGCCACACUGGAACUGAGACACGGUCCAGACUCCUACGGGAGGCAGCAGUGGGGAAUUUUGGACAAUGGACGCAAGUCUGAUCCAGCCAUUCCGCGUGCAGGAUGAAGGCCCUCGGGUUGUAAACUGCUUUGUACGGAACGAAAAGGUUUCUAUUAAUACUAGGAGCUCAUGACGGUACCGUAAGAAUAAGCACCGGCUAACUACGUG
rnacentral:rRNA from 1 species